GUCUUUUCCAGAAAGUCCCUUUGGUGGUUACCAACUUGGGCAUGGCAGAACAGCAAGGUUACAGAACAGUGUCUGGAUCUUGUGUAUCCUCUGGUUUUGUGAGAGCUGUGAGACAACACAGGUCAGAAUUCUUCCAUGAAGAUGGAUCCCUACAAGAGGUUCAUAAGAUAAAUGAGAUGUAUGCCACCUUGCAGGAGGAACUGAAG